GAUUAGAUAAUACACAAUUAGAAAUUGAUGGAGAAAAUUACAAUAAUUUAAAAGAAAAAGAAUUUAAAUACAAAAAAAAACAUGAGGACACAUGUCAACAAACCCCCCUUCCACAUGUCAUAAGAAGGGAAAAAGCCAACUUUAUAUAUAAAGAUGUUCUUCAUUCUUACCAUAAAUAAAAAUUACGAAAUUGCCUAAUGUGACAAAAUUAUAUAUGAAAAUUAAUGAUUUUGAAUAAAAAAAUAUUUGAUAAAAAUUAGUGUAACCUCUAUCGUAUUUGUUUAAUUUAAAAUUAAUAAAAUUAAUGAAACAACCAAAUUAA
rnacentral:lncRNA from 1 species